AGAGUUUGAUCCUGGCUCAGGACGAACGCUGGCGGCGUGCUUAACACAUGCAAGUCGAACGGAAAGGCCCUUUCGGGGGUACUCGAGUGGCGAACGGGUGAGUAACACGUGGGUGAUCUGCCCUGCACUUUGGGAUAAGCCUGGGAAACUGGGUCUAAUACCGGAUAGGACUACGCGAUGCAUGUCGUGUGGUGGAAAGCUUUUGCGGUGUGGGAUGGGCCCGCGGCCUAUCAGCUUGUUGGUGGGGUGAUGGCCUACCAAGGCGACGACGGGUAGCCGGCCUGAGAGGGUGACCGGCCACACUGGGACUGAGAUACGGCCCAGACUCCUACGGGAGGCAGCAGUGGGGAAUAUUGCACAAUGGGCGCAAGCCUGAUGCAGCGACGCCGCGUGAGGGAUGACGGCCUUCGGGUUGUAAACCUCUUUCAGUGCCGACGAAGUGCAAGUGACGGUAGGCAUAGAAGAAGGACCGGCCAACUACGUGCCAGCAGCCGCGGUAAUACGUAGGGUCCGAGCGUUGUCCGGAAUUACUGGGCGUAAAGAGCUCGUAGGUGGUUUGUCGCGUUGUUCGUGAAAACUCACAGCUCAACUGUGGGCGUGCGGGCGAUACGGGCAGACUUGAGUACUGCAGGGGAGACUGGAAUUCCUGGUGUAGCGGUGGAAUGCGCAGAUAUCAGGAGGAACACCGGUGGCGAAGGCGGGUCUCUGGGCAGUAACUGACGCUGAGGAGCGAAAGCGUGGGGAGCGAACAGGAUUAGAUACCCUGGUAGUCC
rnacentral:rRNA from 1 species